rnacentral:rRNA from 1 species
UGAGGAAUAUUGGUCAAUGGGCGCGAGCCUGAACCAGCCAAGUAGCGUGAAGGAUGAAGGUCCUAUGGAUUGUAAACUUCUUUUAUAGCAGAAUAAGGUGACCCACGUGUGGGUUUUUGUAUGUAUGCUAUGAAUAAGGAUCGGCUAACUCCGUGCCAGCAGCCGCGGUAAUACGGAGGAUCCGAGCGUUAUCCGGAUUUAUUGGGUUUAAAGGGUGCGUAGGCGGAAAGAUAAGUCAGCCUGUGAAAGUUUGCGGCUCAACCGUAAAAUUGCAGUUGAUACUGUUUUUCUUGAGUGUACAUAAGGUAGGCGGAAUUCGUGGUGUAGCGGUGAAAUGCUUAGAUAUCACGAAGAACUCCGAUUGCGAAGGGAGCUUACCGGGGUACAACUGACGCUGAUGCACGAAAGUGUGGGUAUCAAACA